CGCGUAGGUGGCCCGGUCAGUCAGUGGUGAAAGCGCGGGGCUCAACUCCGCGUCGGCCAUUGAUACUGCUGGGCUGGAGCACUGUAGAGGCAGGCGGAAUUCCGGGUGUAGCGGUGGAAUGCGUAGAGAUCCGGAAGAACACCGGUGGCGAAGGCGGCCUGCUGGGCAGUUGCUGACACUGAGGCGCGACAGCGGUGGGAGACAAACA
rnacentral:rRNA from 1 species